rnacentral:rRNA from 1 species
GACGAACGCUGGCGGCGUGCCUAAUACAUGCAAGUAGAACGCUGAAGAGAGGAGCUUGCUCUUCUUGGAUGAGUUGCGAACGGGUGAGUAACGCGUAGGUAACCUGCCUGGUAGCGGGGGAUAACUAUUGGAAACGAUAGCUAAUACCGCAUAAGAGUAGAUGUUGCAUGACAUUUGCUUAAAAGGUGCAAAUGCAUCACUACCAGAUGGACCUGCGUUGUAUUAGCUAGUUGGUGAGGUAACGGCUCACCAAGGCAACGAUACAUAGCCGACCUGAGAGGGUGAUCGGCCACACUGGGACUGAGACACGGCCCAGACUCCUACGGGAGGCAGCAGUAGGGAAUCUUCGGCAAUGGACGGAAGUCUGACCGAGCAACGCCGCGUGAGUGAAGAAGGUUUUCGGAUCGUAAAGCUCUGUUGUAAGAGAAGAACGAGUGUGAGAGUGGAAAGUUCACACUGUGACGGUAUCUUACCAGAAAGGGACGGCUAACUACGUGCCAGCAGCCGCGGUAAUACGUAGGUCCCGAGCGUUGUCCGGAUUUAUUGGGCGUAAAGCGAGCGCAGGCGGUUAGAUAAGUCUGAAGUUAAAGGCUGUGGCUUAACCAUAGUACGCUUUGGAAACUGUUUAACUCGAGUGCAAGAGGGGAGAGUGGAAUUCCAUGUGUAGCGGUGAAAUGCGUAGAUAUAUGGAGGAACACCGGUGGCGAAAGCGGCUCUCUGGCUUGUAACUGACGCUGAGGCUCGAAAGCGUGGGGAGCAAACAGG